UCUAAAAGGACAUGAUGAAGAAGCAAAGUUCAAAGGAUUUUUUCCAAAACCAAUUCCUAUAGUUAAACCAAUUCCAAAGCCAAUUCCUAUUAUUAAACCUAUUCCAAUUCCAGUUUAUAAGCCUAUUCCAAAACCAAUUCCUAUUGUUAAGCCUAUUCCAAAGUCAAUUCCAGUUGCUAAGCCAAUUCCUAAUGAAGAAGAAAAAUUCAAAGGAUUUAUUCCAAAGCCAAUUCCUAUAAUUAAGCCUAUUCCAAAGAUAAUUCCUAUUGUUAAACCUAUUCCAAAGAUAAUUCCUAUUGUUAAACCUAUUCCUAUUCCAGUUUAUAAGCCUAAACCAAAACUAAUUCCUGUUGUUAAGCCAAUUCCUGUUAUUAAGCCUGUUCCAAAGAUAAUUCCCGUUGUUAAACCAAUUCCAAUUAUUAAACCUGUGCCAAAACCAAUUCCCAUUAUUAAGCCUAUCCCAAAACCAUUUAUAGUGAAAAAGCCCAUCCCGACUGUUGAGUCGGAGGAAUUUCUAAAACCAAAGCCUUUCUUCAAAAAGC
rnacentral:lncRNA from 1 species